CGCCAUUUCUACGGACUAGAAGAAGAAGAAGAAACAGGUAAACAACGGCAGAACAGGCAGCAGCAUUGCCGUCAAUGCUUCGAUUUGAUUCAAUGACCUACUUUGUCACAUCAAGCUUUUCAUUCACCAUAUAAGAACUCAUCUUAACCCAUGACAUUGUGCUCUUUG